rnacentral:rRNA from 1 species
CCUACGGGGGACAGCAGUAGGGAAUAUUGCUCAAUGGGGGAAACCCUGAAGCAGCAACGCCGCGUGGAGGAUGAAGGUUUUCGGAUUGUAAACUCCUUUUGUUAGAGAAGAUAAUGACGGUAUCUAACGAAUAAGCAACGGCUAACUCCGUGCCAGCAGCCGCAGUAAUACGGAGGGUGCAAGCGUUACUCGGAAUCACUGGGCGUAAAGAGCGCGUAGGCGGGAUAGCAAGUCAGAUGUGAAAUCCUAUGGCUUAACCAUAGAACUGCAUUUGAAACUGUUAUUCUAGAGUAUGGGAGAGGUAGGUGGAAUUCUUGGUGUAGGGGUAAAAUGCGUAGAGAUCAAGAGGAAUACUCAUUGCGAAGGCGACCUGCUAGAACAUAACUGACGCUGAUGCGCGAAAGCGUGGGGAGCAAACAGGAUUAGAUACCCUGGUAGUC